rnacentral:rRNA from 1 species
UAUUAUUUUUAUUGUAAAAAAGUUAAAUUGGAGUAUUAAUAGAUAUGAUCUUUAAACUUAAAGAAUUUGGCGGUAUUGUAGUCUAUUUAGAGGAAUCUGUUAAAUAAUCGAUAAUCCACGUUGAACCUUACUCAUAUUAAUUCUUGUAUAUCGCUGUUUAGAAAAUACUUUUAGGUUAUUUUCUGAAUUUAAUAUUUGAUCAAAUUUCAAGUCAAGGUGCAGUUAUAUGUGAGUUGAAUAAUGGAUUACAAUAAAUUUUAUUUAACUAUGAAUAAUUAUUGUAAUAUAAUUUUGAAAGUGGAUUUAAUAGUAAUUUUAUAAAGAUUAAUAGAUGAUCSACGC